GAUGAACGCUAGCUACAGGCUUAACACAUGCAAGUCGAGGGGCAGCGGGAUUGUAGCAAUACAAUUGCCGGCGACCGGCGCACGGGUGAGUAACACGUAUCCAACCUUCCGGUUACUCGGGGAUAGCCUUUCGAAAGAAAGAUUAAUACCCGAUGGUAUCUUAAGCACGCAUGAGAUUAAGAUUAAAGAUUUAUCGGUAAGCGAUGGGGAUGCGUUCCAUUAGGCAGUUGGCGGGGUAACGGCCCACCAAACCUACGAUGGAUAGGGGUUCUGAGAGGAAGGUCCCCCACAUUGGAACUGAGACACGGUCCAAACUCCUACGGGAGGCAGCAGUGAGGAAUAUUGGUCAAUGGGCGAGAGCCUGAACCAGCCAAGUAGCGUGAAGGAUGACGGCCCUACGGGUUGUAAACUUCUUUUGUGCGGGAAUAAAGGAGCCUACGUGUAGGCUUUUGCAUGUACCGUAACGAAUAAGCAUCGGCUAACUCCGUGCCAGCAGCCGCGGUAAUACGGAGGAUGCGAGCGUUAUCCGGAUUUAUUGGGUUUAAAGGGAGCGUAGACGGGUUUUUAAGUCAGCUGUGAAAGUUUGGGGCUCAACCUUAAAAUUGCAGUUGAAACUGGAGACCUUGAGUACGGUUGAGGCAGGCGGAAUUCGUGGUGUAGCGGUGAAAUGCUUAGAUAUCACGAAGAACCCCGAUUGCGAAGGCAGCCUGCUAAGCCGCCACUGACGUUGAGGCUCGAAAGUGCGGGUAUCAAACAGG
rnacentral:rRNA from 1 species